CUUCAGGGAGCCCAGGUGCAGCGGCCGGUCCGCCGGGCGCCCGCUGCCGUAGGUGGCCAGCAGCGCCUGCGCCUC
rnacentral:antisense_RNA from 14 species